rnacentral:rRNA from 1 species
UAUUGGUCAAUGGACGCGAGUCUGAACCAGCCAAGUAGCGUGAAGGAUGACUGGCCUAUGGGUUGUAAACUUCUUUUAUAUGGGAAUAAAGUUUUCCACGUGUGGAAUUUUGUAUGUACCAUAUGAAUAAGGAUCGGCUAACUACGUGCCAGCAGCCGCGGUAAUACGGAGGAUCCGAGCGUUAUCCGGAUUUAUUGGGUUUAAAGGGUGCGUAGGUGGAUUGUUAAGUCAGUUGUGUAGGUUUGCGGCUCAACCGUAAAAUUGCAGUUGAAACUGGCAGUCUUGAGUACAGUAGAGGUGGGCGGAAUUCGUGGUGUAGCGGUGAAAUGCUUGGAUAUCACGAAGAACUCCGAUUGCGAAGGCAGCUCACUAGACUGAAACUGACACUGAUGCUCGAAAGUGUGGGUAUCAAAC